UUCUACUUGGGUAAACUGAAUUAUCCUCUCUCUCUAGGAAUGAGACUAUUUUCUAUAUCCCAGUGUGAAGAAAAUUUUGUCACCUGGAGAGAACUGAGAAAAGGAAGAUUCUGACUUACCUGUGAAUUUUAAUUCCAGGAUACUGCCAUGUCAACCACUCUGACCCUCACUCAGAGGACUGCAUUAUGUACAGAUAAUAUUGGAAGCUAUUGAUCUGAAGAGCUCUUGCUGAGGGCCAGUCCUAAACUCGGGCGAAAAAGAAAGAUCUGGUCUGUCUCCAGUUGUCAUGAAAUGGGAAGUGCCCCUCUUUGAAAAAUGUCUGCCAUAGAAGAGCCUAGAAUGAAUAGUCACAGGUCCUGGAAAAAGCCCUCAUAAUCGAGAGUGUGAUAGCACAUGCUCAAAUCAACAUUCAUCAGUGUGAUGUUGCACUCCAUUAAUUACAAAAUCACACCUAUAAGAACUCUCCAGCAGUGUUUGAAGAAGAGCCAUGAGCAGUCAAAGUCAAGCAGUCUGAGGCCUGUCAAGGAUUUGAUGCUGGAGAGGAAAGAUUGUAUUGAA